rnacentral:rRNA from 1 species
UACGGAAGGCAGCAGUGGGGAAUAUUGCACAAUGGGCGCAAGCCUGAUGCAGCCAUGCCGCGUGUAUGAAAAAGGCCUUCGGGUUGUAAAGUACUUUCAGUCGUGAGGAAGGUGUUAAGGUUAAUAACCUUAGCAAUUGACGUUAGCGACAGAAGAAGCACCGGCUAACUCCGUGCCAGCAGCCGCGGUAAUACGGAGGGUGCGAGCGUUAAUCGGAAUUACUGGGCGUAAAGGGCACGCAGGCGGUUAAUUAAGUUGGAUGUGAAAUCCCCGGGCUUAACCUGGGAAUGGCAUUCAAGACUGGUUAGCUAGAGUCUUGUAGAGGGGGUAGAAUUCCAUGUGUAGCGGUGAAAUGCGUAGAGAUGUGGAGGAAUACCGGUGGCGAAGGCGGCCCCUGGCAAAGCUGACGCUCAUG